AUAAGAGACAGGGGUAGGGGAGCGUUCUGUAAGCCGUUGAAGGUGGCCUGUGAGGGUUGCUGGAGGUAUCAGAAGUGCGAAUGCUGACAUAAGUAACGAUAAAGCGGGUGAAAAGCCCGCUCGCCGGAAGACCAAGGGUUCCUGUCCAACGUUAAUCGGGGCAGGGUGAGUCGACCCCUAAGGCGAGGCCGAAAGGCGUAGUCGAUGGGAAACAGGUUAAUAUUCCUGUACUUGGUGUUACUGCGAAGGGGGGACGGAGAAGGCUAUGUUAGCCGGGCGACGGUUGUCCCGGUUUAAGCAUGUAGGCGGAACGAUUAGGUAAAUCCGGUCGUUUAUUAACGCUGAGGUGUGAUGACGAGGCACUACGGUGCUGAAGUAACAAAUGCCCUGCUUCCAGGAAAAGCCUCUAAGCAUCAGGUAACAUCAAAUCGUACCCCAAACCGACACAGGUGGUCAGGUAGAGAAUACCAAGGCGCUUGAGAGAACUCGGGUGAAGGAACUAGGCAAAAUGGUGCCGUAACUUCGGGAGAAGGCACGCUGAUAUGUAGGUGAAGCCCCUGCGGGUGGAGCUGAAAUCAGUCGAAGAUACCAGCUGGCUGCAACUGUUUAUUAAAAACACAGCACUGUGCAAACACGAAAGUGGACGUAUACGGUGUGACGCCUGCCCGGUGCCGGAAGGUUAAUUGAUGGGGUUAGCGGCAACGCGAAGCUCUUGAUCGAAGCCCCGGUAAACGGCGGCCGUAACUAUAACGGUCCUAAGGUAGCGAAAUUCCUUGUCGGGUAAGUUCCGACCUGCACGAAUGGCGUAAUGAUGGCCAGGCUGUCUCCACCCGAGACUCAGUGAAAUUGAACUCGCUGUGAAGAUGCAGUGUACCCGCGGCAAGACGGAAAGACCCCGUGAACCUUUACUAUAGCUUGACACUGAACACUGGUCCUUGAUGUGUAGGAUAGGUGGGAGGCUUUGAAGCGUGGACGCCAGUCUGCGUGGAGCCGUCCUUGAAAUACCACCCUUUAAUGGCUGGUGUUCUAACGUAGACCCGUGAUCCGGGUUGCGGACAGUGUCUGGUGGGUAGUUUGACUGGGGCGGUCUCCUCCCAAAGAGUAACGGAGGAGCACGAAGGUUAGCUAAUCCUGGUCGGACAUCAGGAGGUUAGUGCAAUGGCAUAAGCUAGCUUGACUGCGAGAGUGACGGCUCGAGCAGGUGCGAAAGCAGGUCAUAGUGAUCCGGUGGUUCUGAAUGGAAGGGCCAUCGCUCAACGGAUAAAAGGUACUCCGGGGAUAACAGGCUGAUACCGCCCAAGAGUUCAUAUCGACGGCGGUGUUUGGCACCUCGAUGUCGGCUCAUCACAUCCUGGGGCUGAAGUAGGUCCCAAGGGUAUGGCUGUUCGCCAUUUAAAGUGGUACGCGAGCUGGGUUUAGAACGUCGUGAGACAGUUCGGUCCCUAUCUGCCGUGGGCGCUGGAGAAUUGAGGGGGGCUGCUCCUAGUACGAGAGGACCGGAGUGGACGCAUCACUGGUGUUCGGGUUGUCAUGCCAAUGGCACUGCCCGGUAGCUAAAUGCGGAAAAGAUAAGUGCUGAAAGCAUCUAAGCACGAAACUUGCCCCGAGAUGAGUUCU
rnacentral:rRNA from 1 species